CUGGGGUCGAGGUGGAGGGGUGGGAGGCUCCUCGGCUUUCUUCACCGCAUCUUCAAAAGAAGUGCUGGAGUAGGACCUGGAGGUGAAGUCACACGGAUGGAGAAAGAAGUGUCUGAAAGCACUCCUGUCUGCCGGAGUCCACGAGAAGGAACCUGCUGCAGUCCCACACUGAGCCCCUGGACCGUCUGCGUUUGGAGGGACAGCUGAGUAUCGCAUCUCUGGUUCAUUCUUCAGUCCAACAAAUCUGGGCAGAGGUGGAUGGGCAAACCAGACUGGGCGGCCGCAAGCAGCUUCAGGGCCACGUAGAACUGAGGCCUACCAAAGUAGCCCAGACGCUUUGCUCCACACACCUCGGUCACCUGAAAGAGACAAGUGUAGAAUGAUUUUCAAAAAACAACUGUGGACAGGUUUUAGCAAUACAUUAGCCUAAUAAAUCUCAUCUUUCAUACUUCUCUGUG